GGCAGUAUAGCAUAGUGGUAAGGUACAGGGCUUGUAACUGAGAGGUUGCUGGUUUGAUUCCCCGCUGGGCCA
rnacentral:tRNA from 1 species